UGAGUAACGCGUGAGUAACCUGCCUUUCAGAGGGGGAGUAACGUUCUGAAAAGAACGCUAAUACCGCAUGAGACUACAGAGCUGCAUGGCUCAGUGGUCAAAGGAGCAAUCCGCUGAAAGAUGGACUCGCGUCCGAUUAGAUAGUAGGCGGGGUAACGGCCCACCUAGUCGACGAUCGGUAGCCGGGCUGAGAGGUUGAACGGCCACAUUGGGACUGAGACACGACCCAGACUCCUACGGGAGGCAGCAUG
rnacentral:rRNA from 1 species